UACGUAGGGCGCAAGCGUUGUCCGGAAUUAUUGGGCGUAAAGAGCUCGUAGGCGGCCUGUUGCGUCCGCUGUGAAAUCCCGGGGCUCAACCCCGGGCCUGCAGUGGAUACGGGCUGGCUAGAGGCAGGCAGGGGAGAACGGAAUUCCUGGUGUAGCGGUGAAAUGCGCAGAUAUCAGGAGGAACACCGGUGGCGAAGGCGGUUCUCUGGGCAUUACCUGACGCUGAGGAGCGAAAGCAUGGGGAGCGAACAGG
rnacentral:rRNA from 1 species